AGCUUUGCGCAGUGGCAGUAUUGUAGCCAAUGAGGUUUAUCCGAGGCGCGAUGAUUGCUAAUUGAAAAAUCCAAUGGGUAAAAAAAGAAAAAAAAAUGUAUUAAGUUGCUUUGACAA
rnacentral:snRNA from 1 species